AGUGCAACCCCCACUCCACACAGUGCAACCCCCACCUCAAGUGCAACGCCCUUUCCACGCAGAACAGCCCCCACCUCAAGUGCAACGCCCUUUCCACGCAGAACAACUCCACCUCAACUGCAGCCCUUAUUUUCAAGUACAACCCCCAUUCCACACAGUGUAGCCCCCACCUAAAGUACAGCCACCACUCCACGCAGCUCAGUUCCCACACUAUGCAAGUGAUCUACCCAUUCCAUUUAAUUCCCCAGGUACCCUUGGGAGUCAGCCGAAUCUCCACCCAACACCAAUGACUCUUCACACCACACCACCACAAGAUGUAUCGAAUCAGAUAGCUGACGCCCUCGUAUGCAUAACCCAACAGCAGCGUCUUCCCCAGUAGUCUAGGACCUGUACAUGAGUUUGUAUGCGAUUCAUUUACAUAGGCGUACCGGGCGGGGGGGCGGGGGGGGCGGCCGCCCCCCCAGUUUUUUGGGCAGUCGGGCAAUAUUCGAUUAACAGUCGGGCAAUUUUGGGUUGUAAAAAAAAAAAAUCGGACAAAUUAUGUAAUUUUUUCAAAAAUUUAGUCAAUUUUGGGGCAAAUGUAUUUUUUGGGAAAAUUAAUGUGAUUCUGUCAAAAAUUUGGUACGUCCGGAAAAUUUUUUUGACCCCUAAAAUGGUACACUGACCGAAAUUUUUUUGGCGACGGGGGGGGGGGGGGUCGCCAAAAAAAAUUUUCCGGGAAAAAUUUUUUGGUACUAGUCGGGCAAAAUCACGAAAAGUCGGGCAAUUUUACGAAAAGUCGGGCAAUUUUCUUUCCGCCCCCCUAAUUUUUUCCUUCCGGUACGCCCAUG